rnacentral:rRNA from 1 species
UACCUGCAGCUCGAGUGGUAACCGCUAUUAUUGGGCCUAAAGCGUCCGUAGCCGGUUUGGUAAAUAUCUGGGUAAAUCGUGAGGCUUAACUUCACGAAUUUCGGAUAGACUGCCAGACUUGGGAUCAGGGGAGGUCAGAGGUACUCCAGGGGUAGCGGUGAAAUGUUGUAAUCCUUGGAGGACCACCGGUAGCGAAGGCGUCUGACUAGAACGAGUCCGACGGUGAGGGACGAAGCCCUGGGGCGCAAACCGGAUUAGAUACCCGGGUAGUCCAGGGUGUAAACUAUGUGGGCUUUGUAUUGGAGGUCCCACGUGGGCGUCCAGUGCAGAAGAGAAGUUGUUAAGCCACCGCCUGGGAAGUACGGUCGCAAAGGCUGAAACUUAAAGGAAUUGGCGGGGGAGCACAGCAAACGGGAGGAGCGUGCGGUUU